rnacentral:rRNA from 1 species
UGGGGAAUAUUGCACAAUGGAGGAAACUCUGAUGCAGCGACGCCGCGUGAAGGAUGAAGUAUUUCGGUAUGUAAACUUCUAUCAGCAGGGAAGAAAAUGACGGUACCUGACUAAGAAGCCCCGGCUAACUACGUGCCAGCAGCCGCGGCAAUACGUAGGGGGCAAGCGUUAUCCGGAUUUACUGGGUGUAAAGGGAGCGUAGACGGCACGGCAAGCCAGAUGUGAAAGCCCGGGGCUCAACCCCGGGACUGCAUUUGGAACUGCUGAGCUAGAGUGUCGGAGAGGCAAGUGGAAUUCCUAGUGUAGCGGUGAAAUGCGUAGAUAUUAGGAGGAACACCAGUGGCGAAGGCGGCUUGCUGGACGAUGACUGACGUUGAGGCUCGAAAGCGUGGGGAGCAAACAGG